UGAGAGUUCAAAGCAGAUUUUUACUGAACUUCAGAAGUGUUUUCUUCCACAGAAGGAAUUAACUAAUACGUCUGCGGAAGCAUCUCAGAACAGCAAACCUAAAGAUGCAAGUAAAGAACCGGUCGAACCAGUACUUGAAGACUUGGGUGAGUGUAUUAUUUGUCGACUUGGCUUUGAAAAGUUGAAGUACCUCUACUGAUGCCAUGCCCUCUUAUGUUCCAGUAAUAUUCUUUUCCUUUAGUUUUUUCAUUAGCAAAAGGUUUGUCAAAGUAUCUAUUAGAACGUAAUAGGCUGGAUCUAGUUUGUCACAGUGUAACUUAUGCUGUAAUAUUCGGUUCAGGUAUUGUAUACGCUCACCGAAAUGAAGAUAUUGUUAAUUACGGACCCUGGAUUCAAGGAGAUAAAGAAUUGGAUACGAAUUUAAAGGGCACUGUGCAACAUUCACUCCUUCUUGUUGCCAGGAGGAGGAAAUCAGAAGCAGUAGCAGGUAGCAAAAAUACUAUAGAAAAUGCUGCUUCAUCCAAGAUGAGGAAAAAGAGCCAGUAUAGCCUCCUUGCUCAGUUCAUGGGUAUGGAGGAAGUAGAAUUCAGCAAGUGGUUACUUUCAGCGAAUCCAGAAGAACGGGAGAAAGUCCUCCGGGACUAUAAGAGGAGAAAGGAUAAGAUUCCAAAUGGCUGAUAUCUUUCCUCAUCAGGAAGGCAGAGUUUUUGUAAUGCAAAUUGUAACGCUUUGUGGAUAGAUUUCUGUCUCCGUCGCUCUGGCAGUCUUUUCAGGCCAAAUUGACUGUGGCCAUAUUCUGGCCUUCUGGCCUCAUCGUAACAUAGUGUAAGCGUCAAUCUGUCUGUAGUUAGCAAAUAUGUUGUUUGUCCAUAGAUCUUUCCCAAACUAUGGAAGUCGGUUGCUGUCAUUUGGGACUUUAGCCGUGAGUCGCUGUAUGCAUUCGUUUACUGACGUCUGGGUUAAUUCUCUUGAUCCGUUAAUCUUCUUGGAAGUUUUUUUAGAGCAUACUAAUUGAUGCACUUGGAAGACAAGGUUGAAACUCCCUCUCUCACUUGGAACUUUUUUUUUUGGGGGCAUUUUUAUAUCAACAAUGGACUCAAAAAACGGCCUGGACUUUUGGUUUGUUUGUUUGUAGAGGAAAUGGUGCUUUCAUGCACAACCAAUGGUGCCAUCUAGCCUGUUUGUUAGGAGCAAAUUGAAUAUGCCACGCCAGCGGAUUUAUUUAUUUAGCACUUCAUUCUUCAUUCUUAUAUAAGAUUUCGAUUGAAUUCAAUUCUUUUUUUUUCCCCCUUGAAAUAGUAAAAUUAUAUGUUGGAAACAAUUUAGAUAAAGAAAAUUCAUUUCUAGUGGUUGUGGAUGUUAAUCUAUUUUAACCAUUAGUAUAGUACUAAAGGGUAAAUUUGAUUACUAUCUUGUUUAUACAGGUCUAUUUCAAUCUGCCUAACUGGGAAAAUAUGUUGCUUUUGUCAAGAAGUCAAUUGACUUUUACUGACUAAACAAACCUAAUCUCCAGAGCAUACUCCAAAAUAUGGGAAACUAUGUUGCUGGAUGCCACAAAAUAUGUGUGAAGAUUGACUACUCAUAUAUAUGGUCUUAUAUUGACCUAUUACUCUGAAUUCUUUUUUACCCUUUUGGUAGCACUGUUCCAUCCUCUGUAUAGCAGGUUCAUAAACCCUCCUUAGAGAUUUAGAUACCUGAAGAUCAUGAACAAAAAUGAUGAUGACAAUUUCGAUAGAGUUGGAGAAUCAAAUCCCCCGCACUCAAUUUCGUGCCAGAACGCAAACUUCACAAUAUCAUAGCAUGCAUACAUCACUUCGAAGUCCAAAAUACGUUAAUCAGAAGGGAAUUAAUGGUGGAAGAAAUAUGAGACGCGCAUCUAAGGUCAAUAGGGCAGACCCAGCUGAUGAAGCUUAAUAGCAGCAGCAAAGAGAUAGUGGUAGCAUUCAGCCUGGCAAAGCAUUAACGAUUAGAGAAUAGGAAGAAAUGUUCAAACUUCAAAGUACAAAUUGAGAGUAUUCAGUGACGUUAAAUGCACGUUAUUCCUGCAGUAGCCCUAAUUGAAAAUGCAGAACUAGAAUUUAUCAGAGAAUGGGAAGAAAUGUUGUUCAAAGGAAAAAGUACAACAAAUUACAAGUGCCAAAUGCAGUUGAGUACAAGCCAGAAGUGAAAAUUACUACCACACAGUCCUAAUGGAAAAUGCAGAACCAAAAUAGCAUUGAAGUCGAAAUAUUGUGGUUCUAUACAACUUAGAAUCAAAGACUGGAACAUUGGUGAAAACAAGUGAAAGCCAGUUUGCACCUUGGCUAGAUGGCCUGUUAAUGAUUCAUCAAGUAUGUCCGUCUAAUCAAAGAAGAAUACUAAAUGAAGAAAUAAGUAUAGUUUGUUAUAUAAACCUGGGUUUUGGCACUAAUCCAGGUGUCUCCCCAUAUGAACACACCAUGCCUGCGAACGAGUACUGCAGUUGACUUUGGAUAACCUCUGAUCUACAGGACCAGAACGUUAAACUCUGUUAAGAUUCUGCAAUUGCAACCUAUGCAAAUAAAACUUCUAUUGUACUAUAAAUCUGCCACCGUUCUCUAGAUAAUCUAAAAUAUUUGCUGAACUAGAAAUUUGCUAGCAGAGGAUACCGCUUUAGUAAGUGACUCCACAAGCUUCCUCUCACUGGGAGCAUUCUCAAUUAUUGGCACAACAAGCUCGUCAUGGUAACCAUGCCCUUGAAUACCCUUUAUCAUCUCCAUGUUUCUGAUCUGUAUCCCAACAAUUCCUGAUGUACAAUCAACAGAACCAAAUUUAAGAUAAUAAGAAGGCAAGGUCGAUGCAGUUGUCUUUCAAUUGGAAAUGUUUUGGGAGAAAGAAAAUUACGUGGAACUCGUUCGACAAAGAAUUAAUCAUUGUCACAAGGCAAGCAUCCAAUCCAUGACUGUGAAUCACAGCUCCUGCAUUACACAUUUCAUAAACCUAUAGAACACAAGAAGUCAGGGUAACAUACAUGCAAAAAUGGCGAGUCAGGAAGAUGUCGAGGAUAAUUAAAAUGUAUCGGGAUAACAACAAAUGAGCAAGCUUAGAACUGAUGUACCUUGAGAAAUAGAGGAGCACAGUCAGUACAUUUUGGAGGGUUGUUAGGAUAUGACUUGGUAGGAGGUGGAGAAAAAAUAGAUCCACUAGAAGAAAGAACAUACAUGUCCUCUGGCGACAUCCUAUCCUUCUGUACACCUACGAUACAUUAUAUCGUAUUAGCAGAAAACAGGAGGGAGAAGGCAGCAGUCAGAGACAGAAGAAGGGAGAGAAAACCUGAAGGAGACAUGACUAUGAAUUGAUUCUGUUUGGAGACAUUAUGCUCAUGGACUUUCACGGUUACACUACCUCCAGUACCUGAAAGCCAUCCAAGUUUAUAAAAUUGCAUAGAUAGUUCUGACACUAAAGCCUUUGUUUGCUUCAAAGAGUUGCUUUGAACUCUUGGCCAAUAUGCAGCUUCAAACGCGUCUGCUGGUAUUUCAAACACUUCCGCCUGUGGAGAACUCAUGCUGGCUUCUCUGCAAUGGACAUUGAUGUUGAUUCAGCUUCUCAAGUUUCAAUCAAAAUGCUACUAUAUCCACAAGAAGCAUAUUCAAUGCAGUUUUAUGUACUAGACUAACCAUGGUUCAAAGUCGCGGUCGCGGUUGCGGUCGCAGCUUGGACCGUUCCACAUCGGUCUCGGCAUAUCGGUCGCGGUCUCGGCGAGACGCGAAUUUUUGAAAUAUUUAACAUUCUAAAAAUUGUAAAAAAUAUGAUAAACAAAAAUAAUUAAAAAAUUUGUAAAAAUAAUAAAAAUUCGAGUUGAUUCGGGAUGACUCGGAGUGACUUGGUAAGACUCGGCCGUUUCAACCCUUCACGGUGACGUCUCGGCGAGUCACGUAUCUUGGUAUCAUUUCGUCGCGGUCUCGUCUCGAACUAGGCCGAGACAGUGACGACUCGGUCUAUGUCUCGACCGAGUCGCCGAACCAUGAGACUAACUGCAUAUUUCAUGCCUAUUUGGCUAUGAAAUCAUUUUCACAUUUGCAAGAACCUGAAACAAAACUUCUGUUUCUUUUUUUCUUUUUUCCAUCUAUAACAAGUUUGCAAGGGCCGGUGCAAUAGCAAUCCAGAAAGUUUAUAUGAUUAGGAAUGUUAAAACAACCUAAAAUAAGCAAUUUUGGUCACAUUCUCAUUGACCUCGAGGGCCAAUAAAACCAGAUAGAUUUUCCUACAUGGACAGCCAUAUAUAAUUUGGCUAAUUCAAACGUCACAACCAUAUACUCGUUACAGAAAACAAAGAUAGUUACAUAAAUUUAUCCCACAAUAAGUCACUAAAUCGCUCCAAGCUUUUCAAAGAAAACUCUAUAACAUCAUCCACUAAUUAACUUUUUGUAGAACAUUAGCCUGAUCUAGCCAAAAGAUUUGAACUUGCAAUAAGUUGUCAUAAAAAAUUAAAAAAAAAGGGACACCUCUGUGAAGAAUGAAGAUAGCAGGAUUUGAGGAGGUAAUAGAUAGUAAAAUGUGAUAUGCGUAGAGAAUAUAUGAAGGUUUAAACACGUAUUGCGCAAGACUGAAAAAAUAUGUUGAGGGAAACCAGAAGAUGGGAAAGCUGUGAAGUCUAGAUAACCAAGCCAGAAUUUUUUUUUGCACAUCAAGGAUGGCCAUUAUUGUUCCAAGAAAUGUCUAAAUGCAAUGACCAAAUAGCUAAUCAAGAUACUAUAAAGCUCCAAUUCCAUGCAAUAUUCAAUGUUCCUUGAAGAUUAGAUUUUGACUUGACGUUACAAACAAUUUAUUCUAAUCUUUGAGCUUUUUUAUGCGAAUUUAAAAAGACAAGAUUACACUUUUCUUUCUUUCUUCUUCCUUUUUUUUUUUUUUUUUUUUGGGGUGUUGGGGGGGGGGGGAACGGUUUGAAUUUGCAAUGGCUAUCUCGUUGUGUAUGCAUGCACCAGAUUCAUAAACUUGUCUAACCCAUAAUUCACUCCUACCAAUUAACCAGGCAUGCAAAUAGACAAAUGGUCAUUCAUUCAGUCGUCAAAUUCACAUGUAAAAAGUUAGCAUUUUUCUUCGAGUAUGUGGGAAAUGUUAAAAUUAAUAAACAUGCUUAUGUUCUCCAUAUCAAUGGUUAGCUUCACCUAGCAGGAAUUUUUACUACUUACAUCAUAAUAUAGACCAAGUGCCGUGUACCUGUGGUAGCCCUCUGAAACAAAGUAGAAUGUUGCAAAAAGAUAGUGCCCAAUGGAGUCAUUUGGCCAUACCUUCACAGAGAUAACCCAGAUGGUUGUGAUUCAUGUCCUUUUUGCCUUGUUCUCCCUUGCGUUGUCAAGCUUCAGCAGGUAAUUGAUUUUCUUAUUGUACCUUCAGAUAUUCUGCUUGUAAGGUGCUCUAAGACAUUUGAGUUAUUAAAAGAAACUGAUCCAUUACAAGGGCCAACUGUAGCUUUCCCAGACAGUCGUUUCACUUAUGAUAUGAAUAUACAGAUUGGUUUAGGAUAGAGUGUUCAUCAAUUAAUAACAAAAGUAGUGGUAGCUUCAGGAUUCAUCAAGUGAAUUGAAUAAUAGAAAAACCUCCCAUCGUACCCAUGUUUUUUUUCCCAGACGUUUGCUUAAUAUAUAUAUAUAGACUAUUAUAUAUAAUAUAAUAGAAGGUCCUACUUUUCAGUUACUCUGUCAGGUAGAAGUUUAAAGCUUCACAUUUUAUUAGCCUCUAAUUCUUGUUUACACAUUUUUUCAUAACUUGACUGCAUCUAGACUAUAGUGCCAAAAAUUCGCACGUGCUCCUCAAAGUUUCCAGUGUAUGCUUUACUGGCUCCUGGUCAAAAAUUCCAAGGAUCUUGAAUGCUACUUGUAUGCUGAAAUAAACUUUAGCAAGUCGUUAUCUUUUCUUCUUUUCUCAAUUUUGUUGUUUUUUUGGGUUUCUUCUUCCUUAUGGGGUGCUCAAUGGGAUCGGGCACUGUUUUGGUUUAACGGAUGGAACUUCACUCUGUUGUUUUGGAAAAGAAAAGAGAAAGCUACUCUGUGGUUGAUGUUUUAAAAUAAUAUAUGGAAAUCAGAAUUUUACUUGGAAGCAAUGUUAUCUGUUAAGUUUUGGUCUUUAUUGGUCUUAGAAUAAAUUAGUUGUACUUAAAUGUUCUUGAUAUUUUGAAAUAGGACUUGCAGGUAAUGUCCCUGCAAUGAAUUGGCUCUUUGCACCAUAAUGGAUGAAGAAUCUACACUUAGCUCUAAACACUUCUAAGAGUUGAGACAGCUUGUCAUUGCCCUCUUAUUCUUUUAAUGUUUUUCUUUUGAGCAGAAUGCUGGACAUACUUGAAAAGUUCCUUAUACGCAAAGGCUGUUGCUUUUCAAGACUUGAUGGAUCUACUCCGACUGGAGUACGCCAGUCUCUUGUUGAUGACUUCAACUCAAGUCCAAGCAAACAGGUUAGUUUUGACAUUUGGAGUCAGUUUUGAUACUGUGAGACUCAAUUUUGUAAUUUGACAUCUUAAUUGCAGGUCUUCCUCAUAUCAACUCGAGCUGGUGGGCUUGGACUCAAUCUUGUUAGUGCAAAUCGUGUAGUGAUCUUUGACCCAAAUCGGAAUCCUGCCCAGGAUUUGCAGGCACAAGACAGGUCAUUCCGUUAUGGGCAGAAGCGGCAUGCCGUUGUUUUCCGUCUUCUUGCAGCCGGUUCUCUAGAGGAACUAGUUUACACCAGGCAGGUUUACAAGCAACAAUUAGCAAAUAUUGCUGUUUCCGGGAAAAUGGCGAAACGUUAUUUUGAUGGCGUGCAGGUACUGUUGCUGUUUUUCUGAUUCUGUGCACAGUUGUCUUCUUAUAUCAUAGUUGUGAUCGUUAAGACUUGGGGGUCCUUGAUCCCUCUUUUCAGGAUUGCAGAGAAUUUCAAGGAGAGCUGUUUGGCGUCUGCAAUUUGUUCCGCGACCUGUCCGAUAAGCUUUUCACCUGUGAAAUAAUUGGAAUUGCAUGAAAAGCAAGCAAUAGAGCAUGGAGAUUGUGAGAGUUCAAAGCAGAUUUUUAGUGAACUUCAGAAGUGUUUUCUUCCACAGAAGGAAUUAACAAAUACGUCUGUGGAAGCAUCUCAGAACAGCAAACCUAAAGAUGCAAGUAAAGAAACAGUCGAACCAGUACUUGAAGACUUGGGUGAGUGUAUUAUUGUCGACUUGGCUUUGAAAAGUUUCUCCUCCAGUUUUUUCAUUAGCAAAAAUGCUAUAGAAAAUGCUGCCUCAUCCAAGAUGAGGAAAAAGAGCCUGUAUAGCCUCCUUGCUCAGUUCAUGGGUAUGGAGGAAGUAGAAUUCAGCAAGUGGUUGCUUUCAGCGAAUCCAGAAGAACGGGAGAAAGUGCUCCGGGACUAUAAGAGGAUAAAGGACAAGAUUCCAAAUGGAUUAUAUCUCUCCUCAUCAGGAAGGCAGAGUUUUUGUAAUGUAAAUUGUCCAUAGAUCAAUAAAUCUUUCCCAAAAUAUGGAAGUCGGUUGCUGUAAUUUCUUCAUUUGGGACUUUAGCCGUGAGUCGCUGUAUGCAUUUGUUUACUGACGUCUGGGUUAAUUCUCUUCAUCCGUUAAUCUUCUUGGUAGUUUUUUCAGAGCAUACUAAUUGAUGCACUUGGAAGACAAGGUUGAAACUCUCUCUCUCUCUUACAAAAACAUAUACAUAUACCUUCUAGUGCGAAAUUCAGUGAUAUCUUCUUCCAAAAAAAAUUAAGGAAACUGAAGUUUCUGGUGUUCAGUUUAUAUAGCACCGUAAGUGUUAAAUUUUCAAUCCUAUCAUUACAAUUCUAUGAUUUUAUGACACAAAAUUGCAAACUCCGGUCUAAUGCUGGUAGGAUUGCUAAUGUAGAAUGUUAUUUGGAGCAUUGCACUCUCGCGAUUUAUGUCUAUUGGACCAUAUAUGUUUUGAUACUUGGGAGUCCUGGAUUAGACCUAAUUCUAUAUCUGUGGAGCUUAUCUUGGGCUCCUCCUGUUGUGUUGUGGAUGGAAAUUAUACAGCCAAAUGCUUUCGUGAUGCUUCCAUGGGAAUUUAUAUUCUUGCCCCUUUUGAUUCUGUUAUCAAGCUGAUUUAUUUCCAUCAAUUCUUUCAGAAGAUAAUGGUAAUUUCUUUCACCGGAGACUAGGGAUCAAUGGAAGAUACAUGCUGCUACAUUGCUUUGUUCAAGAAAGAAACAAAGCUUUUCUUUUUUUCUUACUAGAUUACAAGUGUAGUAGUAACUUUACCCAAAUACAUGAAUGUUGCCACGAAAACAAAAAGUUGGUUUGGUCCUACCUCAACAAACGUCUAUAGAUUCAAUUAUUUCAAUGGUACCCACAAACCGUGUGGUCCAACUUGGAAGUCUUUGCUUGGAGCAGUACUUUUCUAGUUUUCCAACUUGGAAGGAAAUUUCGUUUUGGAAAAACAUGAAAUGAAAGAUAAGUAAUGGAUUCCGUGCUUUGUGACGCUAGCUUUUGAAUGUUGCCCAUCUCUGGCUGCAAAAAAUAUAUAGUUCAACUAUUCAACUUCAACCAAAGCACUUCACCUUCAUCUGUUAAAGAGUUUCACUGAAUAUGGCUGAAGCUGCACUCAGUUGUGUUAGUGUGAUCUUGAAUAAGAUACUUCCACUUGCUGCCGACGAGGUCAGCCGGGUAUGGGGUGUAAAGAAAGACCUUGAGAAGCUUGCCAAGAACGUAGAGAUGAUGGAAGCUUUGAUUUUUGAUGCUAAAUGCAAGCAACCAACAAGCAAAGCCGUGCAGCUCUGGCUCAAAAGGCUCCAGUCCAUAGCACGUCAUGCUGAGAUCGUGUUGGAUGACUUCGGAUAUGAAGUUCUGCGGCAGAAGGUCGAGAAUCGGAAGCGCGACAAGGUACGCAACUUCUUUUCUUCCUCAAAUCCUAUUUCCUUUCGUUUAGAGAUGGCUAACAACAUCAAGAAUGUUAGCGCAUCUCUAGAGGAAGCUUACAGAGAAGCAAAUCAAAUAGGGCUUCAUCCAGCUCAACUACCCAUGACAUCUGCUGAUCACAAAGAGGAUCGGUUGACUGUUCCUUUUCUGGACGAGUCAGAAAUGGUGGGAAGGGAAGUUGAGGUAUCUCAAGUUGUGAGCAUGUUAAUUAGCUCAGAUUAUAAGAAGGAUUUACCUGUCAUCUCAAUAGUUGGGAUGGGUGGCCAGGGUAAAACAACCCUUGCACAGCUGGUGCUAAAAAAUGAGAGUGUAACGAAGCAUUUUGAUAAAAAAAUAUGGGUUUGCGUGUCUGAUGAUUUCAAAGUGGAGAGGCUGUUGAACGAGAUGCUUCAAUCCCUCGGGGAAAAGAAUGCUGAGACGACAAACAAGGAAGCAUUGGUGAGGAAGCUUCAAGAAAAUCUGAAAGGUAAAAGUUGCUUGCUUGUGCUUGAUGAUAUUUGGAAUGACGAUCGAGAGAAAUGGGAUCGCAUGAGGAUAUGUCUGUUGGCAAUAGGGGGUGCUCCAGGAAGCAAAAUAUUGGCUACCACACGUAGUGAUGAGGUAGCCUCAGCAAUGCAAACAUCUGGUGUGCAUCAUCUAGACAUCCUCUCAGAUGAUCAUAGCUGGAUGUUGUUUGAAAAACUAGCUUUUGCAGAUGGUGGUGCAAGAAGGACUCAAGAUCUGGUGGACAUUGGCAGAAGGAUACUGAAAAAGUGCGGCGGCGUGCCAUUAGCGAUCAAAGCGAUUGGGGGUUUGUUGUAUUCCAAAAAGAAUGCCUCGGAAUGGUUGACGAUUGAGAAGACCAAUAUUGCAAAUGGAGUCAUUUCUGUCCUGAAGCUGAGUUACGAGAACUUACCUUCAUGGUCAGUGAAACAAUGCUUUGCAAGUUGUUCCAUUUUUCCGAAGGACGCUCGCAUGGAAAAACACAGCUUGAUACAGAUUUGGAUGGCCCAGGGAUUUAUUAAUGAUGCCAAGGGAGGAGGUCAUUUGCAAAUGGAGGAUAUAGGCAGUGACUAUUUCAACGUAUUGCUUCGGAGUUCUUUGUUGCAAGCUGCUCCUGAGUACGGAAUCGAGUUCUGCCGGAUGCACGACCUUGUGCAUGAUCUUUCACUGCAAGUGUCAAAUAAUUGUUUCUUAAAUACAGAGGAUGGCAUGGUGGUCAAUCAUGAUGAUGAAGUUAUGCAUUUGACCAUCAUUCGGAGUCGAGGGAAGGUGUUAAAGAAGAUCAAAGGGAUUCCUCCAAAUUUGCAAACGCUUUAUUAUCUUGGGGACGGUGGUAUUAUGCUCAAAGAUAUUUUGGAAAGGUCUAGAUACCUUUCUGUAUUAAAAGUAGACUGCUACGAUGUUACUCAUCUCCCGAAUGCAGUGGGUGAUAUGAAACAUUUAAGACAUCUUGAUAUCAGUGAAACUGUAAUCACCGCUCUGCCAGAUUCGAUCACAAAGCUCUACAAUUUGAUGACCUUGAAAAUACGUUACUUGGAAGAGAUACCUAAGAAGUUUAGCAAUUUAAUUAACUUGAGGCAUAUCGAGUUUUCCAAGGUUCUUCGGGGUCGGUCCCAAUGUUUGUUCCCUGGGAUUGGGCAGUUGGCUAAUCUUCGGACGUUGCCCCACUUCGUGGUAAGCCAAGCCAAGGGAUGUCAACUUGAGGAGUUGGAACACUUGCGCAACCUCGGAGGCGAGUUAAGAAUAUUUGGACUUGAGAAUGUGAGCAAUUUUGAAUCCGCAGCAAAAGCAAAUUUGUCCGAAAAAUCAAGCAUUCAAAGUUUAGAAUUUUCAUGGAAUGGCACGAAAGAAGAUUGCGACGACAACAAUAUCAACGGUGUCAUGAAAGGUCUCCAACCUCACCCAGACUUGAAAAGUUUAGCCAUUAAUGGUUUCGAAGGUUCAAGGUUUCCGUCGUGGAUGGUGGCAAAGGAUCACUUGACGGUACUUCGGAAUUUGGUGCACCUCACGUUGAGAGGAUUGGGUAAGUGUGAACAAGUACCACCACUAGGGGACUUGCCUUGUCUCGAGUCCUUAAAGAUGGUCUUCUUACACAAUGUGAAGCGCAUUGGGGCUGAAUUCUAUGGUCUCGAUAUAAAUGCAAGGAGCAGCACUUGUAGUAGAGAGGUGAAAGCAGUCCCUCUGUUUCCGAAACUAUCGCGUUUUGUGCUGUGGGGCAUGGGAAGUCUAGAGGAGUGGUCAGAUGCAAUGGUUCCCUCGGAUUCUUCUUCAUCAAUUAAGUUAUUCCCUAAUCUCCGGGACUUGACAAUUUCCGAUCUCCCCAAGUUGGCUGUUUUACCGGAUAUGGAGAACUUAACAUCUCUUGCGAAGUUAGAGAUACGGGAAUGCGGAAGUUUGGCUUGCCUAAGGAAUUUGAACAGCCUUACAUCUCUUGAAUCCUUGUACUUAAGUGACUGCCCUGCUUUAUUAGAUGCUUCUCUGGAUAUGAAAAACCCCCAAUCCCUACGUACUCUACGCAUCUCAGGAUGUGAUAAGUUGAGGGUCGUUUCUGAUGACCCUGGUUCUUGGCCAAGUAUGGUUCUCCACCAUCUGGCCAACCUCAGAUGGUUGGGACUCGGUGGCUUCUCUGACGACCUUGAUCAUUUCCCGUGGCCACACUCCAUCACCAAUCUCGUCUCUCUGGAGAGUCUUGAAUUGCGUGGAUGGCCAAAAAUCACGUCUCUCCCAGACCAAAUUCAGCAUCUCUCUACCUUGAGAAGGCUAGAGAUAAGGGAGUUUGAGGGGUUGGAAGUUCUUCCAGAGUGGAUGGGUAGGCUUCGGAAUCUUCGAGAAUUGGUGAUUCGUGAUUGCUCUAACCUCAGACAAUUGCCCUCUGCAGAAGCAAUACGACACCUCACCAAUUUAAAUCAUCUACUUAUCGACAUCUGUCCUCUUUUAGCAGAGAGAUGCACCAAAGGAAGUGGCGCAGAGUGGCCCAAGAUUGCACAUAUUUGCCUUUGUAUCGGUAGGAGACUAUGAAAGUUUACUCUCUCUCUCCCUCUUUUUUUUUUUUUUUUGGAGUGGUGAACACUGCUAUCGACUGGCCGAAAUAUAGACAUGCGCAUGUAUUUUAAAAGAAAAAUUACAAAUGACUAGGAACUGAAUGAAAAUUUUGUUUUCAAAGUGUCCAACUAUAGGUAUUUCCCUUGAGCCAAAAGUAGCCUUGCAAGCGUUGUCAGUCAUUCUGGAUUCCAGAAAUUUUUUAUAGGCUGCGUUUGGAUUGAUGAAUUUGGAUCUGAAGAAGGUUUUGAUAAGGAUGGAAGAUUUAAAAUCCUUUGUAAUCCAAUCAUCUUGUUUGGAAAAGAAAACGAUUUGACUAGAGUAUUUCAAAUUCAUUUUCGAAAUUCGCUGUUUCGAUUAAUUAAUCUCUACCAGAAAUUUCAAAUCCUUGCUCUAUUAAAGAAAGACAAUAAUGUUAUAUUUGAUAAAUUUAUAGAAAUAUUUGUUAUAGUGGCUCAUAUUUUGCAUAUUUAGGAUGUCUAAUCAAACAAUGUAUUUACAGCAAAAAUGUUUUGAAAUUUCUCCGAUUAAUAACACAAGAAAUUUUUCGCUGCUAAAUUCUACAAUUUGUCACUGCUACAGUUGAGGUCUAAACUUCGAACUAAGUAUCCUUUCAAAUGAAAAUCUCAUAUUUCUAACAUCACACCUGAAUCCCAUAAGCUCAUGUACAUGGAUGGCCUUUGGCAGAGAAUACUUUGCAGUGAAGUUGGGGAAAAAAAAAAAAAAAGAGAACUACCGAGAGCAAUUCAAUGAGUUUUCAGAAGCCAUCAUCUUCACUGCAAAAUGCGAAACAUGCAGCCCACCUACACUCUGCCAUAAGUUUGGACAGGAAUCAAGAAAAGAACCAAUUCAUUCUUUUUCUUAUUUUGUUUCUAUUUUGAAAUUAUAGACAGCCAAACAAUUGUAUUGAAAAUAUAACUAUUGCAAACUUCAUUUUAGCCAAUAAGAAACAGCAAAAAUCCUGUAUCAGCACCAAAAAGAAGAAGAAAAAAAACAAUUUCCAUCAAAAACUGCAGAGGGCUGCCCAUGCACCCUAAGCAUAGUUAGUGAAAAAUGUAUUGAAAGGAAAAUCGAGCGAGGAAAAGAAAGGAACAAGUCCAUGGUCUGCAAAUGACUGCUUUUUACCUGUCCUUAUCAUUUGAGAAGAAUCUUAGACAUUAGAAAUAAGAAAAGGCUCAAAGUUUUCCCGCUUUAGCAAGUCCCUUGCCUUACAGUACAGGCGAGGAAAGCAAGAGAUUUUUGAUGUUUUGAAAAACACAUGACAUUGCUAGAAAUGUGUCCAGUUUGCAAGAAAUAGAUAGACUCCAAGAUUACCAAUAUCAAUAAUUUGUUUUUCAUUUUGUAACAAAACAUACUCAUUCAUCCCAUGUAAUUCAUCUUCCGCCCGCAAAGAUUGAAUCUUGAGCUGCUUUUGACAUAUAUUCAGUUGUUGAAUUUUGAUAUUUUAAGCAGCAUAAAUCAACUAAAAAAUGUUAGGAGUUUACCUCCCCUGUCACCGGAAAAUAAUUUCCCAGCACUCCCAAGUUUAAUUUAAAAAAAAAAAAAAAGGGAAUCACAUUACACCAUAUCAAUUUUGACUGCUGCUGUCCAGAAUCACAAUCACUGCAGAAGUUUAGCUAAAAAUUAAGGCUUAAAAAGCUAAUUUCAGCCAAAAAAAAAAAGGAAAAAGAAAAGGAAGAAGAAUGAGAAAACAAAUUACAAAAGUAAAAGGUAAAUCAAGCACGCAUAAAUGAUUCAAAACAACAAAUCAUAAAAUCUCGAAGAGAAAGCACAAAAUUUGGAGAUAAAAAAAAAAAAGACAAAGAAAGCCUAAUCACCAAAAAUCUCACUUGUAGCUCAAAAAUUACAAUCAAGAAGAAGCACUUCAAAUACGACGCUGUCUCGAACAAACAAAUCAAGAGUCGUAUUCACAGAAAUUGGUUGAUUAGAGACACCCUAAUCACUAAAUACGGUACGGGGAAGAAAAAAGACACCAUGAGAAUAAUGAGGAAUUACCAUUCUCUAAGCUGGGAAGACUGAAGAGUAGUAGUAAAUUUCAUAGAGUGCAUGAUACAAAAAUAUGAGUGUAGAGACAGUUGGCGCUCGACUUCUCUUCUUCACAAUUGAAUUCACAGAGGAGUGAGUGGGUGACUCAGUCGUGAUCGAGGAGGAGUGGAUUGCUUUGGGGACAGAGUUUGCCAUAGGUUAGAAAUGACAAUGGAUUUCAAAGGACGCCAUUAGUGGACGGAAUUGAAAUUCCUUGAUUAGGCCGAUACUCAAAUACGUCCAAAAUGUGGGUGAAUUUUAAAUCGUUCCCUUGAAAAAAAAAAAAUAACAAUGGCCGUCUUUAAAUUUUAAAACAUUAUUCAACUUUGCUUGUUUUCUCUGAUUAUGGCUUGUGAGAAAUGGAUUGGUCUUGCGGAUGUUGAUUCUACGGAUGAUAUAAACAUUGUUGUCUUUCAUGGCAUGAACAUCAACCUAUUUUCCAAAAACAUAAAAAAGCGUAAAACUCAUAAUUCUACUUGAGGCAUUUUUCUCAUAUCACUAGCUACUUCCUGUUCAUCCUGAAUCAUGAAACUGGCUUAGUGCUAGGUGCAACAGUCGGUUCCCUUGGGUUUGUCUCCAGAUUAUGGGUGUGCUCCAUGAUAGGGCAUAAAUUAUAGUGUGUUUAUAGGUAUAAGUUGCUAGUUAACCAUAUUAUUUGAGCUUUGUCUUAAAUAGAAAUUACUUAAUUUUGCUUUUAUAUUGUUCUAAUAGGUGAAAAGCUCAAUUGGAGGGAAAACGAACUAAAAGCAUGGCUUGAAGAAUCAAUAGAAAAAGAAAAGUCAAGCGAAAGAGGUUUCGUAGGAAUAAUAUGUUUCAAAAUUUUGGCGAUAACUUGAGUUACACAAAUUAGAUUGAGAUGAUUCUUGAUUCAAUUUGAAUUAAGAGAAUGCUCUACAAAUCUUAUGAGACAUUAUGUCCGGUUCUCACUUUUUCAUAGCCAAAAGUUCAAAUUACUGAAGUAUAUUUGUGCUGCGAAAUUCUUUUGACCAGCACUCAGUAUUUUGGGCAUAUCUCAACAUCUAGGCCUCCAAAUGACAUGAUUGUUGUGGCAUUGGAAAGCUAAUUCAAUGUUUUGAGCAAGAGCUGAUUCAACCUUGAUGAUGGAGAUUUUUGGCCUUGAAAUGGAUCUACAUGUGGAUCCGAAGGGAUCCAUCCGCGAAUCUUUAAUAGCCUGUGCCAAUGUUCACGUUGGAGUUGUUCUGGUCAAGUCAUCCAAUGGAACUCCAGCGCCGGAGUUUAGGCGGCUAUUUGUACUGCUGUUUAUAUGAAAAAUGCACGAAAUUGCCAUUUUUUAGCUCCAAUAAGCCUAAUCCUACCCCGUUUCGGAUAAUACUUUAAGAAACUACAAAUAAGUCCUAUUUAGGACAUUUUGAGGGGUGAAAAAUAUUAGUUUAGAUUAGUUUUAACAUCUUUUCAUAGUUUAUUCUUGAGAAAUCAAGAUCAAAUAGAAGUGAAUCAACAGAGCGUGCAAGGAGAUGAUUGGAGCAAGCAACUAAGAAGUUUUCUUACUCUUUUUCUUAUCUAUGUAGCAACUCUUUGAAUUCGUAAUUUUAAUUUCCAAAUCACGUUGAACUAAAUUAUCUCUAGGAUUAGGGUUUUUAUGAAAGAAUUUGAUUAAUUUUUCUAGUUUAAUCUCUUGCCUUUUUCUAUGAUUUAUCUAUCUUGAUUUAAUUACGUGUUUAUGUUUGGCCACCAUAGACAUGCUCUUAGGGUUUGUGUUGAACUGAGAAACGAUAGACAGUCAUACCCUAGAUAGAUAAAUAUACUUACCCUAAUCACGAAAGUAUAUUAGAAUUUGUAUGACGCAUUUAUAUCACUAAAGUUAUUAAAUGAUUUAAUUGAAUACUUGCGAUUUCGAGAGAGACGUAGGAUUUAAUUAGGCACACUUUAGAUGUAUCGAGAGAUAAUUUAAAAUACAAUUAUGUGAUGUGUCCAUGGUUUGAUAAGAAUUAACUAGAUAAUUUAUUCAAAUUUUAGAUUAAAAUCUGAAACCCUAGGCUCGCAUCUAUUGUUUUCUCACCACUACUCUUUGUGAAUUGAUUAUUCCUUUAUUGUUUAGAAAGAAAAUAUAACUCCAUGAAUUUAAAUUUUUUAGUUUGUUAGAAUAACUAGAGUAGAAAAUUAACUCGUGUGGGUUCAACCCUAGAAUACUCCAAGUUAAUUAUUACUACAAUUGACCCUGUGCACUUGCAAGAAUUCGUCGAUCACUCCACAAUCGAACUAGUAAAAGCCUACAUGCCAUUAACAAAUCGACAACAAGAAUUAAAUUACAUCACCAUUUAACAUAGGGUUAUUAUCACUUUACCCUCUUAAACUAUAUCACUACUAUCAGUUUACCCCCUAACGUUAUCUUUUAGUCACUUCACCCCCAUAAGUAAUUCAACUCAACAUGUUAAAAAAUUUUGGACAAAAAUAUCUUUUUAUUCUAUAGCAUUAUUGCAUUGUUAUUAUUAUUAUUUUUCCUUUAAAUUAUAGUAAUAUAAUCGAUUUAAUUUCUAACAUUAUUUUCUUGGCAUUUUACUUCAUCAUUAAUCUAAGUACUAUGGUCAAAAAUUUUUAAAUAUAUUUACCUUUAUAUAUAUAAUUAAAAUAAAAAAUUUAGAAUGAGUAUUCUUCUUUUUUUCACUUUAAGAGAUCAAAAAAUAUAAAAAUAAAAGGAUUUUUUCAAAUUUUUUUUUCGCACUUAUUAAUACUAUGAAAAGAAAAAGAGAUAGGAAAGAAGGAGACGGAAAAUUAGAUUUUGCAAAGAAAAAAAAUCUAACAUUAUCAUAUUAAUUUAAGGUUGUUGGGAUUAGAAUUGAAAUCUGGUGGUAAACAGUAAAGUGAAAUAAUUUUAAAAUAAUAAAAGUAUUUAAUUCUUGCUAAAUUGGUUUAAUGGUGGGAUAAAUUAUUUAAAAAAUAACUCUAUGUGGUAAAUUGAUAAUAAAACUAUAGUUUAUGGGGGUAAAAUGACAAUAACUUUAAGGGCUAAACUUGUCUUUUUACUUUAAUUAACAAACUCCAUUAAGUUUGACCGUUAGUCUUGCAGGUAAAGUGACUAAAAGAUAACGUUAAGGGGAAAAUUGAUAGUGCCACCAAACGUUAAGGGAGUAAAAUGAUAAUAACCCUUUAACAUAUAGCUGAUGCAUGAAAAACUGUCACCCCAUGGAUACAUGCCUUACUGCUACUGGUACUUGGUUCUGUUGUCUUAAACCCUGUAGGGAAAUCAAAGAAGCACAUAUUAACAGAAGAAUGAUUUGUGUAAAUUCUUCUUGGUUUUCCUUGUGCUUUUGAAGAAAAUCAAAGAAGACCUCUAAAUGUGCACUGGAAGAAGUACAUAUAUGUACUGAGAUUAGUAUUUGUUGUAUUGAAUGUGUUAUAUUGGAGAUUAAUUUGGUUAUAUGUGCUUGUCGUAAAUGAUAGUUUGACCUUGUCUUUUGUAUUAAGAGCUGCUGCAACAUGUUAUGUGUAUUUGUUUUACGUCGAGUGUUUCAACUUUCUACUUCCAAUUUUGUUUUGCACCAGCUUUCCUAAUGAAUUGGUAUUGGCUAUUCUUUUGACGAUUUAUGAUGGAGGACUAGUAAUGAGUUGGUAUUGUUUGUUGUAGUGUAUGGAGAAUGCUUUUCCUCCAUGCUCAUAUAGAUUUAGUUAGUAGGAUUAAUGAAUACAUUUGUGAAUUUCCUAUGAGCUAGAAGACUAUGUCUGCGGUAACAGGUAUUUGAUUUCCUCCACAACUGUUUGAGGUAUUGGCAGAUUUUGGGGUAAUGUCUUCUAUUUGGUGUUUGAACUUGAAAUCUGUGGAAAAGUUUUUUUUGUUCUUCUUUUUCAGAAAUGGACGUUUGAAAAUUCUUGAAGUUCUGAUUGUGCAUAUCUUCUGCUGUUAUUUGAAUAAAUUGGUUCCUGCUUCUUGUUUCUUUAUUCCUUCCAUUUUUCUUAUUACUAUUCACUUUUUCGUUCCUUCAUGGAUUUCAAAUUGUUGCAGUGACAGUCAUCUACGUUUUCCCUACCCAACACAUUUGAUUGAGUGAGUCCGACUUUGUGAUGUUUCGGACCAUUUUAUAUUAAUCCUUUAGGCUUAAUGUAUAAGUGAAAAAUGUUAAUUUGCUUUUACAGGUUCCUGCAACUAUUAAUUGCAGACUCUUAGAACAUCAGCGAGCUGGUGUUAAAUUUUUAUAUAAUUUAUGAAGGUGUUUUGGGAGAUGACAUGUGAGUUUAAAUUUUCUUUCCACAUAUUUCAUUUGCUCUUUCCUUUCCUUCUUUGGUAUGCAGUUCUGUCGGUCAUGACAUCCUGUAACUUGUUCAGCCAACCAAAAAAAAAAAAAGGGAAUACGAAAAUUGGAAAUGGUAGAGAAGGGCACAAGUAUUUAGAUAGGUUAAUUAGGAUACAAGAAAAGCACCAAAAAGAUGCUUUGGCAUCACUCUUGGAUUUUUUUCACUACAAGUAAGAUUUGAACCCUUGGAUUUUUUUCACUACAAGUAAGAUUUGAACCCUCACCUACAUCCAGGAAAGAACUUAAGACCCUCCUUGAUGGCCACUGAGCCAAGCUUAGUGGUUAUAUAAAUAAACCAAAUUUUGCUAGUGAGACUAGUAUAUUUUGCUUCUGCGUCCUCUUACCCGCUCUACAUUGGUUAAUUUGAAAUGAUUUUGCGGCACUAGACUUGGAAAAGGCUUACUAAGGGGUAUUGUCUGAUAAAGCGGUAUCCAACCUUCUCAUCAAGCAUUCUUCUCUUUUUACAUUGCUUCUUUGUUAUUAUCAUUACUAUAUAUAAAAAGUACCAUGAGCCUUGAUACCUUGGAGUGCGAGUGUAAUUUCUGUUGUGAUCUUACUUUCUAUUAUUUCAGUUAUGCCCUUAUUAAUUUGUGGUUAAAGUUUCGUAUAAUCUUAAUUGUAGGUGAUUUAGAAGAAAAUAAUGGUUGAUUAUUAAGGUCACUAUAUUAUAUCGUACCAUAUUGAUUUGGAAAGAAACAUCUCCUUAAGGCUAUAAACAAUCAAAUGAUUUGAGAAACAUUUGCUGGAUGAAUUAUAUAAGUUGUACACAUCUAAUUCAGAAGGAGAAGAAUUUUAAUGUUCCACCCAAUGGAAUUUCAAUAUACAAAAAGUUAUAACAACUUUAUAAUUGAAAUAGCAAUAUUAAACUGGAAAAAAAAAAAUCUGAAGUAGAACCAUACAAAUCAUUAUUAUCAUUAGUAGCAACCCCUCAAAACACGAAAAACUAAAAGAAAAAGCUGAAAACAAUUCAUAAAAUAACAUAAAGUGAAUAAUAAAUACAUGAAAAAGCUGAAAAUACAAUUCAAAUAAUGCCAAAGAUAAUAUCCAAAUUAAUCACUGAUAUCCUAAGGAAGACAAGCAUUUUUAUUGGCAACAAAAUAUAAUACUUCAUUUGUAUUGGUUUAAAUAUACCAAGUCCAUCUAUCAAGUCAUGCAGAAGCUAUCUCCAAUGAUAAAAUAAGAAUUAUAAUAAGAGUAAACUUAAAAUGAAGACGGAUAUCCAAAUUAUUUUUUGUGAUGCCCAAAAUACCCUUAUUUUUCUAAUGAUUACAUAUAUUUAUUAUAUUGCAAUAUUAGUGAAAAAUGGUAGCAGUUAUGAAAUGAAAAACUUUAAAAUAAAGUAAAUUUCAUUUAUGGUGAUAAUUGUAAUUAGACAGAUUUAGUACAUUUUAUUAAUUGACAAUAAUGGUAGAGGUUAUGGAUUACAAGCUGGCAAUUGAAAAAAAUAAGACACUGUAAUAUAUUAAAAAAUUUAAUUAGCUAGAAUUCGCAUUCCAAUUCCAUGAUCAACAAAAACACUAAUACUGAAACCAAAAAUAUUGUGCUCAUAUAAAAGUAGACUUGUUCCUUUUGUUUUGUAUUGGAUUGUGCUAAAAAAUAUGAUUAAAAGAAAAGAAAAAUGGAAAAAAUCCAACUAUCUCUAUCUACUAAAUUUCAAUUGUCAGAAUGUGCAGAUCGAAAAAAGCUUUAUGUGGUGGAUUAUUUAUACUCCAUUAUUGAUAAAAAUAACAAUAAAAGAAUAUAAAGAAUUCAAGUUACAUGUAUAUUUAUUUUUUUUGGCUAAAUUGUAUUCUUUGUUUAUAAAAAAUUGUGACGAUUGUGAUUUAUAUGUAAUAAAAUCAUAAAUAUACAACAACUUUAUUAUAAUAUGAUAUUAUCAAUAUUUGAUAUGUUAGAGUUCAAGCAAUAAAUCAAAUAAUGUUUGGUUCAUGAUUCUAAAUUAAUCAUAAGGGACAUAUUAACGAUACUGGAAUGCUUUUUAUCUCUUUCCAUUUAAUAAAAAUUUUAAAAGUAACUAACUAAAGAAAAAAAAUAACAGAAAAACAUACUAUAUUUUUCACAAAUUUUUAGUAUCCAAAAAAUAAUAUAUUUUUGGAUAUUAUAAUCACGUGCAAAGCACAUGAAUUAUUACUACUAGUUACUAUAAAGUUUUCAGAAUUGUGUGAUGAAGAAUGUAGGUUCUUAAGUUAGUACUGAAUCAUCACUUUCGUAAAUCCCAUUGAACUUGCUAACUUAAUCAUCAAAGUUUGGUAAAUCCCAUUGAACUUAGUGUUACUCCUAAUUAUCUUCUAAUGUCAUUUUCUUUUUCUGAGUCAAAAACUCUUGUUUAUCAGGGGAUUGGGCAAGACAAUCCGGACAAUUGCAUUUUUAGCUGCUGUUUUUGGAAAGGACGAAGAAGCUGAUAACUUAACAUGAUUGAGGGGAAAUCGGCCUGAGAAGACUGGCUGUGUUCUAAUUUUUUUGUCCGACAUCUGUUAUUCACAAUUGGGAGAAUGAAUUUUCUAAGUGGGCACCGUUCUCUAUCGCUGCUUAUCAUGGAACUAACCGUGAUUUAAUAAUUGACAAACUAGAAGCUUGAGAAGUGGAGAUAUUGAUAACUAGUUUUGACACCUACAGCAUUCACGGUACUAUAUUGUCAAAAGUUCAAUGGGAGAUAGUGAUUGUUGAUGAGGCACACAUGCCAAAGAAUGAGAAGUCAAAACUCUACAGAGCAAUUUCAGAGACUAAAACCCAGAAACGAUAUGGUUUGACAGGAACAUUAAUGCAGAAUAAACCAAUGGAAUUGUUCAAUUUGUUUGAAUGGGUAGUACCCUGUUGCGUAGGAACACAUGAACAUUUCAAGGAGUUUUUUGAUGAACCUCUCAAGCAUGGCCAAAGGCCAAGUGCCCCAGAAAGAUUUAUUAGAGUUGCUGAUGAGCGAAAAGAGCACUUGGUGACAGUAUUACGUAAGUAUUUGUUGAUGAUGACCAAGAAGAAAACCGUUGGGCAUCUUAUGAUGGGAAAGGAGGAUAAUGUUGUAUUCUGUGUCAUGAGUGAGUUGCAGAAACGGGUAUACCAGAGAAUGUUACAGCUACCUGAUAUCCAAUGCCUUAUUAAUAAGGACCUUCCAUGUAGCUGUGAUAGCCCUCUGAAACAAUUAGAUAGUGCCCAAUGGAGUCAUUUGGCCAUGCCUUCACAGAGAUAACCCAGAUGGUUGUGAUUCAUGUCCUUUUUGCCUUGUUCUCCCUUGCCUUGUGAAGCUUCAGCAGGUAAUUGAUUUUCUUAUUGUACCUUCAGAUAUUCUGCUUGUAAGGUGCUCUAAGACAUUAGAGUUAUUAAAAGAAACUGAUCCAUUACAAGGGCCAACUGUAGCUUUUUUACCUUUAUUUUUCGGGUAGAAUGCAUUUUUUCAUGGUCAAUAGGAUGACAGGAGAUGGCUGACUACCACCACUUACAGUUAUAUCUUAUAAUCACUCGAGCAAGGCCAUGUGGCUACCGUUUCGCUUAAGAUAUGAAUGUACAAGUUGGUUUAGGACAGAGUGUUUAUCAAUUAAUAACAAAAGUAGUGGUAGCUUCAGGAUUGAUCAAGUGAAUUGAAUGAAAGAAAGACCUCCCAUCAUACCUAUGUUUUUUCCCCCAGAUUUUUGCUGCUUUAUAUGUAUGUGUAUAUACAUAUAUAUAUUUAUAUCUUUAUUUAACACUUGUCUGAUAGGUGAGUGAUCACUUAGAGCUCAUCAAACCAAAUCCAAAGGAAGAUCCUGAUAAACAAAGGAAAGAUGCAGAGUUCGCCGCUGCUGUAUUUGGUACAGACAUUGAUUUGGUGGGAGGACAUACCCAGGAUAAGAGUUUUAUGGGUCUAAGUAAUGCCAAACAUUGUGGUAAGAUGAGGGCUCUGGAAAAAUUAAUGUUCUCAUGGCUUUCCCGGGGUGACAAGGUCCUACUUUUCAGUUACUCUGUCAGGCAGAAGUUUAAAGCUUCACAUUUGAUUAGCCUCUAAUUCUUGUUUAUGCAUUUUUUUCAUAACUUGACUGCAUGUAGACUAUAGUUGCAGUUUCCCUUCUCACGUGCCAAAAAUUCGCACGUGCUGCUCAAAGUUUCCAGGGUAUGCUUUACUGGCUCCUGGUCAAAAAUUCCAAGGAUCUUGAAUACUACUUGUCUCCUAAAAUAAACUUUAGCAAGUCGUUAUCUUUUCUUCUUUUCUCAAUUUUGUUGUUUUUUUGGGUUUCUUCUUCCUUAUGGGGUGCCCAAUGGGAUCGGGCACUGUUUUGGUUUAACGGAUGGAACUUCACUCUGUUGUUUUGGAAAAGAAAAGAGAAAGCUACUCUGUGGUUGAUGUUUUAAAAUAAUAUAUGGAAAUCAGAAUUUUACUUGGAAGCUAUGUUAUCUGUUGAGUCUUGGUCUUUAUUGGUCUUCGAAUAAAUUAGUUGUACUUAAAUGUUCUUGAUAUUUUGAAAUAGGACUUGCAGGUAAUGUCCCUGCAAUGAAUUGGCUCUUUGCACUAUAAUGGAUGAAGAAUCUACACUUAGCUAUAAACACUUCUAAGAGUUGAGACAACUUGUCAUUACCCUCUUAUUCUUUUAAUGUUUUUCUUUUGAGCAGAAUGCUGGACAUACUUGAAAAGUUCCUUAUACGCAAAGGCUGUUGCUUUUCAAGACUUGAUGGAUCUACUCCGACUGGAGUACGCCAGUCUCUUGUUGAUGACUUCAACUCAAGUCCAAGCAAACAGGUUAGUUUUGACAUUUAGAGUCAGUUUUGAUACUGUGAGACUCAAUUUUGUAAUUUUACAUCUUAAUUGAAGGUCUUCCUCAUAUCAACUCGAGCUGGUGGGCUUGGACUCAAUCUUGUUAGUGCAAAUCGUGUAGUGAUCUUUGACCCAAAUUGGAAUCUUGCCCAGGAUUUGCAGGCACAAGACAGGUCAUUCCGAUAUGGGCAGAAGCGGCAUGUCGUUGUUUUCCGUCUUCUUGCAGCCGGUUCUCUAGAGGAACUCUUUACACCAGGCAGGUUUACAAGCAACAAUUAGCAAAUAUUGCUGUUUCUGGGAAAUGGCGAAACGUUAUUUUGAUGGCGUGCAGGUACUGUUGCUGAUUUUCUGAUCUGUGCACAGUUGUCAUCUUAUAUCAUAGUCGCGAUCGUUAAGACUUGGGAUCCUUGAUCCCACUUUUCAGGAUAGCAGAGAAUUUCAAGGAGAGCUGUUUGGUAUCUGCAAUUUGUUCCGCGACCUGUCUGAUAAGCUUUUCGCCAGCGAAAUAAUUGAAUUGCAUGAAAAGCAAGGAAUAGAGCAUGGAGAUUGUGAGAGUUCAAAGCAGACUUUUAGUGAACUUCAGAAGUGUUUUCUUCCACAGAAGGAAUUAACUAAUACGUCUGUGGAAGCAUCUCAGAACAGCAAACCUAAAGAUGCAACUAAAGAAACGGUCGAACGAGUACUUGAAGACUUGGGUGAGUGUAUUAUUGUCGACUUGGCUUUGAAAAGUUUCUCCUUUAGUUUUUUUCGUUGGGAAAAGGUUUGUCAAAGUAUCUAUUAGAACGUAAUAG
rnacentral:lncRNA from 1 species